UAAGAGGAAACGGUGUCGCUGAAGGAGUGUUGACCAGCUACCCAACUCAUCCCGUGGGAAUGGCUUCCGGAAAGAUGGUGAUCUCCGGUGAGGAGAAGUUAUCAUGCUAUCAAGAACCAUACCUUAUAUUCUGAGCUUCCUUGGACAACCUGAAACUAUCCUAAUUUGAGUUCAUGGUGGAGGGUAAGGAAACAUAAUAGAAUCAAAAUUUCAUUAAAAAAAACCAAAUACCAAGAGGAAAUUAUUCUGAGCAUUACUGUCAUCAUCUAAUAAAAUUUAGGAAAGCAGGGUUUAUUACAAUGUUUGAGUGGCUUUAAAUUUGGUUGAACAAUAUCUUGCUUGGAGAAUGAGGGGAGCACACAAACACCUCUAAUUCAUCUCC
rnacentral:lncRNA from 1 species